rnacentral:lncRNA from 1 species
AGUAACUUUUGACUUUCUUUUAAAGUUAAAAGCAUAAACAGAGAUGUGUUGCCUUUAGAAACUCUUUUGAAAGAGCAAGCUUUAUAGCAAUUGUUUAAUCUAUUAUUGAUAUAUAAUAUAAAUGUGACGUACCUACUACAGCAAUUCAUUUAUUGAGUAUAAAUUAGAAGGUCUUUUCUUAUUCAAUUAAAUUACAAGGUACCACUCAGCAGCUAGCUCUCCAACUUUACCUCAAGUUGCAGAGAAUAUGAGUAGUACUCCAAGUGUUCCUUUGUUAGGCGAUGUUUUUGUGUUGCAUCACUCAGAGAUCAACACUCGCUUGAACUGCUGUCAUUAUGGAGCUUGAAUAGGAGAAAUUCACUGGAGCCAUCAUUAAUGCUUUUUAAUGAAAUAUUAAAUUGCUGUAGCACAGAGUAUAUGGAGUGAGCCAGUUUAACAGCAGUCUAAGCAAAAAAGAAAACCAAGCCAUAGUUAAAACCCUGGUGUUCCAGAAAAGACUCCUCUCUUACUUUAUUCCUCACCUCAGGGGCAUCAUUAACCUUUUUCUGCACAAACUCUUUUUCUCCUUUUUCCUUGAGUGAAUUUACGUGUUUGGUUUUAUGCCUGGCUUGUUUUCUCUGCUCACCCCUGGAUAAUUGAUGUUUGAGACUGUCUUUGCUUCCUGAGGUUAACUCAUCUACCUCUGGUAUCCACUCUGUGCAAUGUAGGCACAAAUUCUGUGGUUCGCCCUUUUACUAAUUUGGCCCAAAAGGUGAGUUUAGGCAGCUGUUUUUGUCAGUUUUCUAUUGCUAUCCCAAAAAUGUAGCGGUGUAAACAACUACAUUUUAGUAAUAUAUAACUCUGGGUUAGCAAUUUAUUUUGUGGUCAACUGUGUGGUUUUCUGCUGUCUGUGUCAGGGUCACUUAUGUAACUGCAAUGAUAUGGUGGAUCAACUGCACAUGGAUGGCCUGAGAUACCCUCAUGUCUGGAGGCUGCAGCUGGCUGUCAGGUGGGCCAUGUGUCUCUGGCAGACUGGCCUGGACUUUCUCACAAAGUGGCAGCUUUUCAAGAGAUUAAGCUUCAAUGUGUAAGCAUUUGUAAAGCCUGUGCUUGUAUCACAUUUACUGGUGUCCCAUUUGCCAAAGUAAGUCAUGUGGUCAAGCUCAGAGUCCCAUAUUAAGGGGUAAUAUAGCAGAACAAAGACACAGGAAUUCAUGUGUGAAUUGGAUCUAUUAACCUUUUAAAAGACAGUUGAUUAAAAGACAGUUUUUUAUAAAGUCAUUCCCUUUUCUGCUUUAUUGUGCUAGUCGGUAAGAUGAAGGGUAAAGAUGAAAGUGGGUAAAUGGGUAAAUCUGAGUAAAUCUUUGAUUUUUCACAUGCAUCAUAUUUCAUUUUAUGGGAAGUUUAUUUAACACCAGUCAAGACCACCGCAAAUUUGAACAGAUCACUAAGCUAAUUAACCAGAACAUUCAGCUCUUUUAAAGCACCUGAUUUGGAAGCUCAAAAUCUGUGUUCAAAUUUCAGUUCUUGAAGUUGAAUAAUUGAUCUCUUGAGCUUUUAGAGUGUCUGUAUGUCACCAUCAUUAACAAAUCAUCGAUUCCACAUCCCCUUCUCUGACUCACUCUUUUCUAUUUUUCCAGCACACUUAAUCAAACUUCUCAAUUAUAACACUUACCAUUGAGAAGCUUCAUGCACUUGCCCCUCUCCCAUAAUCCUCAGUGUGUUUUCAGCUUUCUUCUUUUCCUGCUUAAGUUCCAGAGACAAUCAUUAAAAUCAUUUUGUUAUCAAUGUCUUUAAUUUCUAUGUCCCUCUCUCCAUCCCUUCUCGCAUGUUGGUCAAGACCCUACUAAUUUCCUUUGAGCUUACAUCCUGCCAAUUGAGGGUUGUUAGAUAAAAUCACAUAGAUUGGCAUUAUAUAUUCCUAACAGUAUUAAUUGAGUAGUCAACAAUGUCCAUCAAUCUUACUCUAUUUUCAUAUGGUGCUAAAAUAUUUAUAUCAAUGACUUUUUAAUGCAUUUUCCACACUAAUCAAACCUCUCACUCCCUUCAUCUUUUCAUCACACUUUUUAGCUGAUGACCUCAAUUACUAUUUUGUAAAAUCUUGAAGCCAUCAGAUAAGAACUCAACUCAUCUCAUCACCAAACUGUAAACUUAACCUGAACAGUCACCAAUACUCUCUUUAUUCACUCUUGUUAUAAUGGAUGUCAGAGUUUGGUUUCCCUUCUUCUAUAAUCCUAGCACUCUUAUUGUAUUUGGGAUCCUAUCUUACUCAUUUUUUAGUCACAUCCAUUGACUAUAUCUUCCCUUUCUACACAUUGUUGUACGUGAGUAUUCAAACAUUCUCUGGCAUCUCCCAUAUUAAAGAAAAAUAAAUCUCUCCUUGAAUCCCAAAUUACUUUCCAUAUGCUAUAAUAUUUUCUUUUUCAUUUCAAGUCAAAUUUAUUGGGAAGAAUCUUUAUAUAUGCUACUUUAUCUCCUAAGCCCAUGUUGAAUCUGAACUGACUCUCCAUCUGGCUUCUACCUUUGCCAUUAUAUCAAAACUGCUCCUACCAAAGACACCAAAAAUAUGUUCUGCCCACCCCAACCUUUCUUGAAUAAUUGGAUAAUUCCUAUUCAAGUCUCAUAUUUUGUUUCCUCAAUGAUACCUUAAUAAUUAAUUAAAUUAUGCUGUCAUAGUACUCUGUAUUUAUUCUUCUUAGCAUAUAUCUACAUAGAUUAUAAUUCAAUACUUGUUGUUGCUCAAAGGCACAUCACUCUAUGGUGGUACAAUUAAAUAAAAAUUCUGACCAAGAAGCAUUACUGAGUACUGAGAGUAACACUAUCAAUACAUAGCAAAACUUAUCAAAAGAAAUCUGCUUAUUGCAACUCCUCCCCUAAAGAUUCAUUCAACAGUGUGAUGGCUCUAAUCCCUUUUUCACUUUUCUCUGCCUAAAACAAUCUGAAUUGUACCUCCACCUAAUCAACUAUCCUCUUCAUUUCUUACUCAAUUAUCUCGCUACCUCUUUACUAUAUAUAGAAAUCUAGUCUUUUUCAGCAGCAUUAAAAAAAUGUCUUCUAAGAAGGAUAGAGACCUUGUAUCCUUCUAUAAAUGGGAAAGGGUUAUAAACUCUUCAGUAAUGUUUAAUUUAUAACCUUACUACUUACUUAGUCCCUAUCUUUCUUAGAUCUCUUACCUAUAAUUGAGGGAGUGAAUGAGUGAAUAAAUAUUUGAAAAAGAAAUUGGUAAUGACAUCGUGAUUCACUGACAAUAUGCCAAGAAAGAAGAAUGAAAACUGUUAGAAUUAAAUAUUUGUGUUAUUUUAAGGUUUUGAAACUCUGCCCUUUCUUUUAGAGGUCUAAGUCAUUAGAUCCCAAUAUCUUUAUUUAAUUUUUAUAUGGUAGAGAUCUAGGAAGAACAUAAUUGAGACAUGUCAUAUAAUUACUUCCUGAUUUGAUGUGCCAUUUUAAUUAAUUUGGGGUUAAGUUCCCAUACUAUAGGAUAAAAUGGUGGGGUUCAUGUUAUCUCUUUAAUUUUCCCAUUACUCUGGGGAGGAGAAGGGAGAGUACUUAAGCUUUUCAUAUUAAAGUUUCUAAGCUGAUAAAAAUUCAAGGUUAGCACAGAUUUUGUGUGGUUCAAGUAAGACACACACUAUCUGAGGAAUAUUUAGGCGAUCAAAUAUAUUUUUAGAACUGUCUCAGAGUUUUUUUUUUCUCUGACAAAAUAAUACAGUUUCUAGGAAACCACUGAAAGACUAUUUUUUAAGUUAGCUUCAUGAUGAGAAUAUUUUAAAAACCAUCAGUACGUAUUUUUUACUGAAACAUUUCUCUAUUCAAAACAAGCAGAUGCACUCUGACUCAAUAUCAAACUCAAAAUCAUUACUGUUUAUAUCCAAGAUUAUCAAGUGGCUAAACUUAUAUCUGCCUGCUGUUUGUCAACACUUCCUCCUCAGCUGGCCAAGUGCACAGUGACUUUGUUUGACAUCAUUUGGCACACAAAUUCUCCAAGUUUAAUUCUUCAGGCCAGCACAGUUGCAAGUUUCUUUAGUCCUUCCCCUCCUCUGGAUUAUUCCAGAACACCUCCCCUUUUAAAAGGGGAACUGCUGCCCAAUUAUCUAGGGCACAGCUCUCUAUGCAUAAAUCUCUAGUAAGGUACACAUGGAUUUUUCUCUCCCCAAAAUAACUUCUUGAGAAUUUCAUGCCCCAGGGAAUAAUGAAGAAAAUGUGAUUCAGUUCCAUUUCCACUUAAUGACAUAUAUUAACUUUGUAAUGAAUUCAUAAACUUAAGUAACUAAUUAUUCUAAACCAGGAGUUAGCAAACUUUUUCCAUAAAGAGCCAAAUAGUAAACAUUGUUGGCAUUGUGAGCCAUAUGAUCCCUUUCACAACUAUUCAACUCUACCACUGUAGCUCAAGAACAGCCAUAAACAAUUCAUAAAAGGAUGAGUGUGACUGUGUAACAAUAAACUCCAUUUACAAAACAAAUGGUGUGCCAGGUUUGACCCAUAGGCCAUAGUUUCCUGACCCCUCUUCAAAACUAACUAUUAACAUGUAGGGAGCAUACUGGCAUAAAUGAAAAAACACGGUUAUUGAAGUCAAGCCAACAUGUAUUCAUAUCCCGGCUCCAGCAAUUUAUAUAAUUUGGGAUAAAUGAUAAGACCUAUUUAAAUCUUCUUUGUCAUCUGUUAAAGGAAAUUGUAUCUCCCAUCCCACACACGUUCUAUGAAUAUUAGAUGAGAAAAAAUGUUUAUAAAAAGUUUUAACAGAAAUUUUUACAACAAUGGACAUAAAAAUAACAUUGCUAUUUAUGUGAAUAAUAACCAUUAUUUCAAAUUCUAUGAAACUUACCUCAGAUUCAGUUUCAUGCUUGACUGAGAAUGGCUUGUCCUUAUAUACACUAGAUACUUUAAAAACUGUGCUAGUAAGUGAAAUGCAAGAAACACAUGAUUUUAGUUAACUAUUUGAGCAGUAAUUGUCAAAUGCACACCCCAAGCAUUGCCUAAUAUUUUCAGAGGUCAUGAAAAAAUAACAUCAGUGAUAAACAACAACAACAAAAAACAGUGUUAGUGACUUUUACAUAAGAAUUAGUUUCAACCUAAAUACCUGCUCCUCUAAUUCAUCUUGUUGUCUCAAUUCUUUCAUGCAAGUAGUUUUCAUCUGAGUACCUGCAGCAAAUCCAGAAUUUGAAAAUAAUCAGAUAGAACAGUGUGCAAUUUAAGGUCCCAACGACAAGUACAGAAAUGUUGUUUUAUGCUUGAGGGAAUUGUGCAUAGACCAUCUGCUGCCUUGGUGAUUCCCAUGAUGCCUGUCAAAGCAUGCAUGCAUGCAUGAAGAAGCAGAGAAUAAAAAGGGAGAUAUUCUCAGAGCAAUUGGAUCUGGCAUCUAGGAAACCACAGCAUCCACACUGGACAUCAGUCAAACUAAUAAUUAAGCCCAUGUGGUGUAUUUUAGAUCCACCUACUGAAUCCAGAUUCUAAGAGAAGAAUGCCAUUGAGAGUUUUUAAUAUUCUAACGUCACUGUGCAUUUCAUGCAGCUUGAAGUAAGAGAAAAAUUGAAUAGACCCUCUUGCCGUAUUUGUACUGCAUUAUGAGACACAAUGGAAAUAACAUGGAAAAUGUAACUUUUACUAAAAGAGAAGGCUGUUUUACUAAGAGUCUGCAACACGAUGGUCCCUGCUAUCUUUGAACUUACUCCUAAAGCAGCACAAGAUUUCUCUUUGCCUAUUUAUCAUAUAAUAAAAGUACUUAUGCUUAAUAAUACCUGCAAACAUUCAGGGUUUGACAUGUGAGUAAAAGGCAAAACAAAACAGAGUAUGUGACAGAUUCAUAGAAUAGACAUACAGAAUUGGAAAUUCUCUACCCCCCAACAACAAAAAAUAGUAAAAAUUAGGAAUUGCCAAUUACAUCUGUCCCCAAUGGUAUUUAGUAAGAGAUUCUGGACUUGAACUACCUAUGCAGGCCUUAUUGUAAGUUAUUUCUGGAAGUAGGUACAAAGGAAGAAAAUAAAGUAUUUACAAGUUUAUCUACAUGAGUUAUUUGUCCCUAAAGAAUGCCUUUUAAAUGUAAGAGUAAUACUUUUAUUCCAGAGGGCAAUAAUUCUAUUUUUUAAACAGAUUGUACUUCAUAUGUCCAGAAAUUGUAUUCUUGGAAGCUACUCACUAGAACUUAUAACUAGAAAUGAUUCCUAUAUGGAAAAUGGAAGCAUGACAGAAUGUGAUGGGCUGCUGUUAGAGUUAGUACAACCCUCAUAAGAGCAUGCCAUUCUUAUUAGUUGCAUAUUUGGUAGAUAUACAUUAAUUUAUCUUUAAAUAAUAACCCAGGGUAUUGAUUCUUA